UACAGAGGGCGCAAGCGUUGUUCGGAAUUAUUGGGCGUAAAGCGCGUGUAGGCGGCUUUGCAAGUCGGGUGUGAAAGCCCUCAGCUCAACUGAGGAAGUGCGCCCGAAACUGCAGAGCUUGAGUGCCGGAGAGGGUGGCGGAAUUCCCCAAGUAGAGGUGAAAUUCGUAGAUAUCUGGAGGAACACCGGUGGCGAAGGCGGCAUCCUGGACCGGCAUUGACGCUGAGGAGCGAAAGCCAGGGGAGCAAACGGG
rnacentral:rRNA from 1 species